rnacentral:rRNA from 1 species
AGAGUUUGAUCCUGGCUCAGGAUGAACGCUAGCUACAGGCUUAACACAUGCAAGUCGAGGGGAAACGACAGUAAAGCUUGCUUUAUUGGGCGUCGACCGGCGCACGGGUGCGUAACGCGUAUCCAACCUGCCCCCAACUCCGGAAUAGUCCCCCGAAAGGGGGGUUAACGCCGGAUGCUGCAGCUGCUCCGCAUGGUGAAGUUGCGAAAUGGAUAAGGUUGGGGCUGGGGAUGCGUCCCAUUAGGUAGUAGGCGGGGUAACGGCCCACCUAGCCGACGAUGGAUAGGGGUUCUGAGAGGAAGGUCCCCCACAUUGGAACUGAGACACGGUCCAAACUCCUACGGGAGGCAGCAGUGAGGAAUAUUGGUCAAUGGGCGCAGGCCUGAACCAGCCAAGUAGCGUGAAGGAUGACUGCCCUAUGGGUUGUAAACUUCUUUUAUAUGGGAAUAAAGUUUUCCACGUGUAGAAUUUUGUAUGUACCAUAUGAAUAAGGAUCGGCUAACUCCGUGCCAGCAGCCGCGGUAAUACGGAGGAUCCGAGCGUUAUCCGGAUUUAUUGGGUUUAAAGGGAGCGUAGGUGGACAGUUAAGUCAGUUGUGAAAGUGUGCGGCUCAACCGUAAAAUUGCAGUUGAUACUGGCUGUCUUGAGUACAGUAGAGGUGGGCGGAAUUCGUGGUGUAGCGGUGAAAUGCUUAGAUAUCACGAAGAACUCCGAUUGCGAAGGCAGCUCACUGGACUGCAACUGACACUGAUGCUCGAAAGUGUGGGUAUCAAACAGGAUUAGAUACCCUGGUAGUCCACACAGUAAACGAUGAAUACUCGCUGUUUGCGAUAUACAGUAAGCGGCCAAGCGAAAGCAUUAAGUAUUCCACCUGGGGAGUACGCCGGCAACGGUGAAACUCAAAGGAAUUGACGGGGGCCCGCACAAGCGGAGGAACAUGUGGUUUAAUUCGAUGAUACGCGAGGAACCUUACCCGGGCUUAAAUUGCAUUUGAAUAAUCUGGAAACAGGUUAGCCGCAAGGCAAAUGUGAAGGUGCUGCAUGGUUGUCGUCAGCUCGUGCCGUGAGGUGUCGGCUUAAGUGCCAUAACGAGCGCAACCCUUAUCUUUAGUUACUAACAGGUCAUGCUGAGGACUCUAGAGAGACUGCCGUCGUAAGAUGUGAGGAAGGUGGGGAUGACGUCAAAUCAGCACGGCCCUUACGUCCGGGGCUACACACGUGUUACAAUGGGGGGUACAGAAGGCAGCUACCUGGUGACAGGAUGCUAAUCCCAAAAGCCUCUCUCAGUUCGGAUCGAAGUCUGCAACCCGACUUCGUGAAGCUGGAUUCGCUAGUAAUCGCGCAUCAGCCAUGGCGCGGUGAAUACGUUCCCGGGCCUUGCACACACCGCCCGUCAAG